rnacentral:rRNA from 1 species
AGUCAGACACAGGUUGUGCAUGGGUGUCGUCAGCUCGUGUCGUGAGAUGUUGGGUUAAGUCCCGUAACGAGCGCAACCCUUGUCCUUAGUUACCAGCCCCUCGGGUGGGCACUCUAAGGAGACUGCCGGUGACAAACCGGAGGAAGGUGGGGAUGACGUCAAGUCAUCAUGGCCCUUACGGCCAGGGCUACACACGUGCUACAAUGGUCGGUACAAAGGGUUGCCAAGCCGCGAGGUGGAGCUAAUCCCAUAAAACCGAUCGUAGUCCGGAUCGCAGUCUGCAACUCGACUGCGUGAAGUCGGAAUCGUUAGUAAUCGUGAAUCAGAAUGUCACGGUGAAUACGUUCCCGGGCCUUGUACAC